GAACUGCGAUAAUUAAUGUGAAUUGCAGAAUUCAGUGAAUCAUCGAGUCUUUGAACGCACAUUGCGCCCCCUGGCAUUCCGGGGGGCAUGCCUGUCCGAGCGUCAUUGCUGCCCUUCAAGCCCGGCUUGUGUGUUGGGUCGUCGUCCCCUCCGGGGGACGGGCCCGAAAGGCAGCGGCGGCACCGCGUCCGGUCCUCGAGCGUAUGGGGCUUUGUCACCCGCUCGAUAAGGACCGGCCGGGCGCCAGCCGGCGUCUCCAACCUUUUUUUCUCAGGUUGACCUCGGAUCAGGUAGGGAUACCCGCUGAACUUAAGC
rnacentral:misc_RNA from 1 species